UUUGUAUUCCAGGCCGCUUUAUAAGAAAAGCCGUUCGGCUGAACAGUUUGCCCUGGCGUAGGGCCUCUUUCGUGUUCCCCAAUUUCGUACUCGUCGUUUCAAGGACCAAGGAAAGUAAGAAAUUUUUCUCCACGAAGCGUGAACACUAGUGCCGAGUUCGCCAAUAGAAACGUGGACGAACGUCGGGGAACGCACGGCCGACACACCGCGAUGCGGGGCACGCCUCGCCGAAGAUGGCCGCUGUCCGUGGUCGCCUCCGCUCGGCUCGCAGUGGUGACCGGCAGCCUGCUGGCGAUUUCCGCGGUCACGUGUUGCACGACCAAAGAGUGCGAAAACGAGUGCUUCGGACGCGGCGCCAAGCAGGCCUGGUGCAACGGGAAGUACUGCAUCUGCGACAUCGACUUCCGCUUCCCCAAGAUGAAGAGACCGCCUCCCUUCGUUAGCCCUGUCGAUGUGGUCAGAGCAGGAGACGCUUACAGCAAUAAAUCCACGGAGAUCGACUGGAUCGUGAAAAAAUAAUGCUUGCAAGAAAGGGGUGGGACAUUUGCCGCCGACGCCGCAACUCCCUCGCUCAAUGUGCACACCUGGGGCUGUGUUAUGCAAGGGUUCUUUUCCUUUUUCCAGUCUUCUUCGCCUUCGUGGUUGGCGCUAUUGAAGCCAGGUCUUCGAUAUCGCCAUUAUCGGCUACUCGCUGCGAUGGGCGAUAAAAAAAAUAAAUAGCAUCGAAGGAAACGAAUCCUUCCGCACUUAAUACGGCUGAUAAAAUAGCGAUUCUAUUCCUUUU